GCAUCUCCCUUACACCGAGAAGUUAUCUGUGCAAAUCAGAUUACCCU
rnacentral:tRNA from 1 species